GAUGUUUUACCAAGUUGCUGGUGUACCAUUUAUUAUUUUAAUGAUGAAUAACAGUUCAGUAAAUUUACAUCUAUGUAUUUAUUUGUUACAUUUUCCUGGCUCUGACUACCGUUACCUCCACACUCUCCACUAGCACCACCCUGUUGCGUUUCGCUAUCGUCACGUCACAAACUACCUGCAAUCAGUUAUUCUUCGCUGCUCUAAAACAGUAGUUGCCAUUGGCAGCCAUGAGACCUCCAGGGUGACCACACAGUAAAGGCAACUGGUUUGGAGCGGCGAAGAGGAAGAAUUGAUUUCUGGUUAAACAAGUUGAUUUUUUUCUGGGUUAAUAAAUGAUGAUAUCGGAUCGGUGCGUAGACUGGCGUACUUGCUGAUAUCGUUACCAAAUUUUGGGCAGUAUCGGACACAUUUCCAAUACUGCAGGACUGUUUGGUAA